rnacentral:rRNA from 1 species
UACGUAGGCAGCGAGCGUUGUUCGGAUUUACUGGGCGUAAAGAGUGCGUAGGCGGUUUUCUAAGUUUGGUGUGAAAGCCCCCGGCUCAACUGGGGAGGGUCACGCGAUACUGAUCGACUCGAAGGCAGGAGAGGGUAGUGGAAUUCCCGGUGUAGUGGUGAAAUGCGUAGAUAUCGGGAGGAACACCAGUGGCGAAGGCGACUACCUGGCCUGUUUCUUGACGCUGAGGCGCGAAAGCUAGGGGAGCAAACGGG